UCAUAUGUACAUGCCUACAACGUUAAUGCACCAAAUCCCAUUAGAACUCCACAGUUAAACGUACUUGGGCUAGAGUAGUAUUGGGAUGGGUGACCUUCAGGGAAGUCCUAGUGUUUUACAUGCC
rnacentral:rRNA from 1 species